AUGGCCGUUGCAGGAGACACUGGGACGUCCAAAGGCAAAGAUGUAGAUGAUGUUGUCUAUGGAGACUUUGCUCACUGGGCCUCCACUGAUGAAGGUAAUCCGGAAAAAGCAUCUCUUGCUACUAAUGAGAGUGCUCUAGAGUGGGUUCUUGACUCUGGAGCAUCUAAGCAUGUUGCUAGUAACUCAUGUGUGUUCGAAUCUUACACUAAGCAUCCUCCCUCUCACACGGGCACUAUACAAACGAUUGAUGGCACAAAACAACCGGUCAUAGGGGUUGGUACAGUAAAGUGUACUCCGACCAUUUCCCUAUCGUCAGUUUUACAUGUGCCAGCCUUUCCUGUCAAUUUGGUCUCUUUCAGUGCACUCAUUGAUCAAAUGGACUGUCGUGUGAUCCUUGACAAGUUCGGUUGCUUGAUUCAGGUGCGACAGACGAGCCAGACGGUUGGGACUGGCACCAGGCGUAGGGGGCUCUGGUACAUGGACCAGGAGGUGCAGCCGGACUUGGUGUGUGCUGCGACCAUGGAGGAUAAGGAGAAGCAGGCGAUGAUCCAUCAUUGUAGGAUGGGGCAUGUAUCUUUUGAUAAGAUGAGUAGAAUAUUUCCGGAUGUUAUGUGUGGAAUAGGCAAAGGCAAGCUGACAUGUGAUGCUUGUGAAUAUGCAAAACACACACGGGCCUCAUAUGUGAGUAAGGGGCUCAGGAGCAUAUCUCCUUUUAUGCUUAUUCAUUCGGAUGUAUGGACUAGCCCAGUGGUGUCAAUGAAUGGGAAGAAGUAUUUUGCUACCUUUAUUGACUGCUAUUCUCGCAUGACUUGGAUUUACUUGAUGCGUCACAAGGAUGAGGUGUUUAGCUGUUUUCAGAACUUCCAUGCUCUUGUAAAGAACCAGUUUCAGGUACAGGUCAAGGUGCUCAGGACGGACAAUGGAACGGAGUAUGUGAACAACAUUUUUGGGGCUUUCAUGGCUGACCAUGGGAUUCUUCAUCAAACUUCAUGUCCGGACACCCCCCCUCAGAAUGGAGUGGCCGAACGGAAGAAUCGUCAUGUUCUUGAGGUUGCUCGGUCGUUGAUGUUUACCAUGAAUGUGCCUAAGUUCUUGUGGGAUGAUGCAGUUAUGACAACCACAUACUUGAUCAACCGAACACCUUCCAGGAUACUUGGCAUGAAAUCUCCGUCUGAGUUGAUCAUUGGAGAUAAUAAGUUUGUUGUUCCCCCAAAGUUGUUUGGCAGUACCUGCUUUGUUCGUGAUCACCGACCAUCUGUUGGCAAGCUUGAUCCUCGGGCAGUGAAGUGUGUCUUUCUAGGAUACUCGUCUAGUCAGCAGGGGUAUAAAUGUUGGUGUCCCUCUGAAAAACGCAGGUUUGUAAGUAUGGACGUUACAUUCAGGGAGUCUGAGCCAUUCUAUGGUGAGCCGACUGAUCUCAGUCUGUUGUUUGCAGAGCUUGACCAUCUACACCCUGUGCAUGAUGGUCAAGAGGGGGAGAAGGAUGUGUCUCAUACUCACGGUGAUCCUGUGGACAUUAACACUGAUAAUGAUGUGCAGGCUCAGGUUCAACCAAUAGUGGGUACAAUUCCGGUUAGUACCAUCACUGAUGAUGAUGUGCGGGCUCAUGUCGAGCCAACUGUCGAUACACUUAAGAUUGGUGCUCUCCAGGUUCUGUUCGGGAUCGAUGGCAGACGAAUACCCUGGUGUACUCUCGGCGGCAACCACAAGUGCAGGGGGAGCAGCAAGGCAGGGAGGCAAGAGUGCAGGGGGAGCAGCAAGGCAGGGAGGCAAGAGUGCAGGGGGAGCAGCAAGGCAGUGAAAGAGUGCAGGGGGCAGCAAGGCAGUGAGGCAAGCUCAUCUGACACAGUGGAGCUGCCCAUUGCGUUGCGAAAACCUACACGUGAAGCGGCAAGGAAGGGUGAGGUAGCAAGGAAGGCUCUGCCAAAGGAUGAUGCUUGUGAUGACCUUGAUAUUGGCAAUUUUGUGUCUUACAAGGCUUUGUCACCUUCAUAUAAGGCGUUUGUUGCCUCUCUGCAAACUGUGUCUAUCCCUAGGGAUUGGAAGGCUGCAAAGCAAGAUCCGAAGUGGCGUGAAUCGAUGAUAGAGGAGUUAGAAGCAUUGAAAAAAAAACAAGACAUGGGUGCUAACCACAUUGCCGGCAGGAAAGAAAGCAGUGAGUUGUAA
rnacentral:rRNA from 1 species